rnacentral:rRNA from 1 species
AUUGAACGCUGGCGGCAGGCCUAACACAUGCAAGUCGAGCGGUAGCACAGGGAGCUUGCUCCUGGGUGACGAGCGGCGGACGGGUGAGUAAUGUCUGGGAAACUGCCUGAUGGAGGGGGAUAACUACUGGAAACGGUAGCUAAUACCGCAUAACGUCGCAAGACCAAAGAGGGGGACCUUCGGGCCUCUUGCCAUCAGAUGUGCCCAGAUGGGAUUAGCUAGUAGGUGGGGUAACGGCUCACCUAGGCGACGAUCCCUAGCUGGUCUGAGAGGAUGACCAGCCACACUGGGACUGAGACACGGUCCAGACUCCUACGGGAGGCAGCAGUGGGGAAUAUUGCACAAUGGGCGCAAGCCUGAUGCAGCCAUGCCGCGUGUAUGAAGAAGGCCUUCGGGUUGUAAAGUACUUUCAGCGGGGAGGAAGGUGUUGAGGUUAAUAACCUCAGCAAUUGACGUUACCCGCAGAAGAAGCACCGGCUAACUCCGUGCCAGCCGCCGCGGUAACAC